rnacentral:lncRNA from 1 species
AUUUUUGAAGGGGCAGCACCACCUAGCUUACCACCAAGAAGCAAGAUCGAGUUUAGGAUCCAACUUGUUCUCUUUUGCCUGGUCAUGGUAGCAAUCGUGUCAUUUCUUCUUUGGUUGUUCUCACCUAGAUUGCACUCACUCUACUAUGAAUGGGGAAUGAGAAGGAAUUGGGGGAUUUCAAUGACGCCGUUUCCUGUGAAUUCUGGCCCACCAACAGCACCCUCACCAUCUGCUACUGAUCGGCCCAGACCAACACCAACAGCACCUCCAAUCCCAAGUCCUCCACGCGUCCUCAGCUGCCAUGUAUGUGGAUAUCCAGUUGUCAUUUAUAUGUGGCUUGUCCAUAUUGUGGCCAGAUUUCCACAUUAUCUGUAAUUUAAUUAGUUUCUAUUUUACUAUUAGAUUAAAUAGUAAGACUUAUUGGUACUCUGUUCUAGUUCAAUUAUAUGGAUUGGUAAAUAUUAGUAAAAGCUCCUCAAUUAAUGAAAAUAGACUGGCAAAUUUAUUUAUGUGAAAAUUUUAUUUAUUUUAUACAAAUUGAAUAAUAACAUUUUUGGGCACUACUAAAUUUUUUUUGAAUAAAAUUUUCUAUUUAAUUUAUCAAACACUACAAUAUACUUUUGUUAUAGAAUAAAUUAAUCUCCCUUCCAACCAUUAAUGAGUUAUCAAUUUCAAAACUUGAAAUACACAGACAGACUGGCAAUGAGAAGAAAGAGAAAAUAAAAUAAAAAGCGAAAUUAAAACAUAUGGAGCCGAGGCCAGCCCCAAACAAAAAAACGUUCAUAAUUCCUCUCUCUCUCUCUCUCUCUCUCUAACAUUUACCAAUAAUGGUAGCUUCUUCUUCUUCCCUCCACAAACGCAGUGGCCAGCGUAUCCUAUCUUUUCUUCUUCCUCCUCUCCUCUCCUUUCUCUCUCCGAAUCCUUCCUUCUCCCUCUCUUUGUUGGCUUCAAGAUUGACCAAAAACCUAUCCAAAAUGUCUGUAGGCAAAAGAAGAAACAGACAGAAACGGUAAUUCAUUAAUUUCCAACUUAUUUUGGAAUGUUUAGUUGAGAUCUCAAUGAACAUGUUGGUAUAAAUUGUAUUUGUUUCAAUGAACAGCUGUUUCAAGGAAGAACAAAGGAAAUGGCUGCUUCCAAAUCCUUUAUUUUGCUGCUGGCUAGUCUUCUCAUAGUGGACACAGUAUCUGCAUCUGUACCUGCACCUCCACCCAACGCCGCCGCAGCCGCUGAUGUAUGUUUUACGUUUUUGCCUUUUGUUUUUCGAGUUUUUGGUAAAUCUGUGGUAAAUCUUCAUAUUUUUUGUUUUUCAAGUUUGUGGAGAUAAAAGCUGCAUCUGCAUCUGUUGCACCUCCACCAGACGAGUGGUUGAGAUAGGGAGGGAACAGGUGGGCUGUUGUAGUUGGGUGGGGUGGUUCUCUAUCUAGAUUGGCUGGUGAUAAGCUCGAGAAGGGUGGAGUUGGGCUCGGUGGGAUGAUGAGAGGUUAACUUAAUAGAGUUAGCAGUGUUAAAAGUGCUGUUAAGUGGUUUCCCACAUGUGAAAAACUUAGGAGAAAAACCGGGUUUAGGGUUUAGGGUUUAGGUUGGCUGGUGACAAGCUAGAGAAGGGUGGAGUUGGGCUCGGUGGGAUGAUGGGAGGUUAACUUAAUAGAGUUAACAGUGUUAAAAGUGUUGUUAAGUGGUUUCCCACAUGUCAAAAACUUAGGAGAGAAACAGGGUGAAACAUGACAUUUAGUAAAAGGCAAAUUGGUUCAGGACCUGGUGUUAGUUAUGGUGGACCUCGAGGCUAGUACGGUAGUAGGGCAGGUUCCGGCGGCAGUAGUCGUUACCACCCUUAUGGAAGGUAGACAUAUACUUAAGCUUCCCAAUAGAAGUUGCACGCAGGUUCCAAUGUCACUCUUCGCGUCCUAUGGUUCCAUUGUCACUAGGCACUACUGCAAGAGGCACUAAGCUAGAAGAUGAGAUGAACCAUUAGUUUGUCCCUGGGUCUACUCUGUGGCAUGGACAUCCAAAGUUAGAUUAUCACUAAUUUGGAGACUUUGUCAAUUAUUGGCUUGUGAUUCUAGUUAGGCAUGUAUUGUGUGCUAUGUAUGAAUGAAUGUCAUCAUAUUUUGAGACUUCGACACUUACUGACAGUUACUGUUAUGUGAUCAGCCUAGAGUACGAGAUAUAUUUUGUCAAUUAUUGGUUUGUGAUUCUAGUUAGGCAUCUAUUGUGUGCUCUGUAUGAAUGAAUGUCAUCAAAAUACACUUACUGUUAUGUGAUCAGCCUAGAGUAUGACAUAUAUUUUCUCAAUUAUUGACUUGUGAUUCUAGUUAGGCAUCUAUUGUGUGCUAUGUAUGAAUGAAUGUCAUCAAAAUACACUUACUAUUAUGUGAUCAGCCUAGAGUAUGACAUAUAUUUUCUCAAUUAUUGGCUUGUGAUUCUAGUUAGGCAUCUAUUGUGUGCUAUGUAUGAAUGAAUGUCAUCAAAAUACACUUACUGUUAUGUGAUCAGCCUAGAGUAUGAUAUAUAUUUAGUCAAUUAUUAUUGGCUUGUGAUUCUAGUUAGGCAUCUAUUGUGUGCUCUGUAAGAAUGAAUGCCAUCAAAAUACACUUACUGUUAUGUGAUCAGCCUAGAGUAUGACAUAUAUUUUCUCAAUUAUUGGCUUGUGAUUCUGGUUAGGCAUCUAUUGUGUGCUAUGUAUGAAUGAAUGUCAUCAAAAUAUACUUACUGUUAUGUGAUCAGCUUAGAGUAUGACAUAUAUUUUCUCAAUUAUUGGCUUGUGAUUCUAGUUAGGCAUCUAUUAUGUGCUAUGUAUGAAUGAAUGUCAUCAAAAUACACUUACUGUUAUGUGAUCAGCCUAGAGUAUGAGAUAUAUUUAGUCAAUUAUUGGCCUGUGAUUCUAGUUAGGCAUCUAUUGUGUGCUCGGUGUGAAUGAAUGUCAUCAUAUUUUGAGACUUCGACACUUACUAACAGUUACUGUUAUGUGAUCAGCCUAGAGUAUGAGAUAUAUUUUGUCAAUUAUUGGCUUGUGAUUCUAGUUAGGCAUCUAUUGUGUGCUCUGUAUGAAUGAAUGUCAGCAUAUUUUGAGACUUCAACACUUACUGUUAUGUGAUCAGUCUAGAGUAUGAGAUAUAUUCAAACAUAGUUCUAUUCUUUUGUUAACAUUUCUACUUCUCAGUUGGCAAGACUGUCAAUCAGGACUGCACAUCUUGUUUAGAUAAUAGUUCAAUGUUUAUAUUUGUGUGCUUCUAUUGCUAUCAGAUAUCACAAGAAUUAGAAGAAGACUCUUAGAGUCAUCUGCUUGGUUAGUAGCAGUCAGAUCCUGUAACUGAAAUGUAUGUUGUCUUUCUUGCUUUAUACUAUGUGGUGCAGGGGAAUGUGAUUUUUGAAGGGGCACCACCACCUAGCUUACCACCACCUGGCUUACCACCAAGAAGCAAGAUCGAGUUUAGGAUCCAACUUGUUCUCUUUUGCCUGGUCAUGGUAGCAAUCGUGUCAUUUCUUCUUUGGUUGUUCUCACCUAGAUUGCACUCACUCUACUAUGAAUGGGGAAUGAGAAGGAAUUGGGGGAUUUCAAUGACGCUGUUUCCUGUGAAUUCUGGCCCACCAACAGCACCCUCACCAUCUGCUACUGAUCGGCCCAGACCAACACCAACAGCACCUCCAAUCCCAAGUCCUCCACGCGUCCUCAGCUGCCAUGUAUGUGGAUAUCCCAGUUGUCAUUUAUAUGUGGCUUGUCCAUAUUGUGGCCAGAUUUUCACAUUAUCUGUAAUUUAAUUAGUUUCU